GGUUCGAUGGCGUAGUUGGUUAUCGCAUCUGUCUAACACCUCCAACUCUGUUGUGUCGCACAGAAGGUCCCCAGUUCGAGCGUGGGUCGAGUCA